rnacentral:misc_RNA from 1 species
GAAAUGCGAUAAGUCAUGUGAAUUGCAGAAUUCAGUGAAUCAUCGAAUCUUUGAACGCACAUUGCGCCCGCCAGUAUUCUGGCGGGCAUGCCUGUUCGAGCGUCAUUUCAACCAUCAAGCUUUAGGCUUGUGUUAGAGCCCUGCGGCUGUCCGCAGGCCGCUAAAUACAGUGGCGGGCUCGCUAUCACACCGAGUGCAGUAGUUUUCUUUCUCUCUCAGGGCGUGCUGUGGGAGCUAGCCGUAAAACCCCUUUUUCACAAGGUUGACCUCGGAUCGGGUAGGAAUACCCGCUGAACUUAA